rnacentral:rRNA from 1 species
GAUUAAGUUAUUAAGGGCGCACGGUGGAUGCCUUGGCACUAGAAGCCGAUGAAGGACGUUACUAACGACGAUAUGCUUUGGGGAGCUGUAAGUAAGCUUUGAUCCAGAGAUUUCCGAAUGGGGAAACCCAGCAUGAGUUAUGUCAUGUUAUCGAUAUGUGAAUACAUAGCAUAUUAGAAGGCACACCCGGAGAACUGAAACAUCUUAGUACCCGGAGGAAGAGAAAGAAAAUUCGAUUCCCUUAGUAGCGGCGAGCGAAACGGGAAGAGCCCAAACCAACAAGCUUGCUUGUUGGGGUUGUAGGACACUCUAUACGGAGUUACAAAGGACGACAUUAGACGAAUCAUCUGGAAAGAUGAAUCAAAGAAGGUAAUAAUCCUGUAGUCGAAAAUGUUGUCUCUCUUGAGUGGAUCCUGAGUACGACGGAGCACGUGAAAUUCCGUCGGAAUCUGGGAGGACCAUCUCCUAAGGCUAAAUACUCUCUAGUGACCGAUAGUGAACCAGUACCGUGAGGGAAAGGUGAAAAGCACCCCGGAAGGGGAGUGAAAUAGAACCUGAAACCGUGUGCUUACAAGUAGUCAGAGCCCGUUAAUGGGUGAUGGCGUGCCUUUUGUAGAAUGAACCGGCGAGUUACGAUUUGAUGCAAGGUUAAGCAGUAAAUGUGGAGCCGUAGCGAAAGCGAGUCUGAAUAGGGCGUUUAGUAUUUGGUCGUAGACCCGAAACCAGGUGAUCUACCCUUGGUCAGGUUGAAGUUCAGGUAACACUGAAUGGAGGACCGAACCGACUUACGUUGAAAAGUGAGCGGAUGAACUGAGGGUAGCGGAGAAAUUCCAAUCGAACCUGGAGAUAGCUGGUUCUCUCCGAAAUAGCUUUAGGGCUAGCCUCAAGUGAUGAUUAUUGGAGGUAGAGCACUGUUUGGACGAGGGGCCCCUCUCGGGUUACCGAAUUCAGACAAACUCCGAAUGCCAAUUAAUUUAACUUGGGAGUCAGAACAUGGGUGAUAAGGUCCGUGUUCGAAAGGGAAACAGCCCAGACCACCAGCUAAGGUCCCAAAAUAUAUGUUAAGUGGAAAAGGAUGUGGCGUUGCCCAGACAACUAGGAUGUUGGCUUAGAAGCAGCCAUCAUUUAAAGAGUGCGUAAUAGCUCACUAGUCGAGUGACACUGCGCCGAAAAUGUACCGGGGCUAAACAUAUUACCGAAGCUGUGGAUUGUCCUUUGGACAAUGGUAGGAGAGCGUUCUAAGGGCGUUGAAGCAUGAUCGUAAGGACAUGUGGAGCGCUUAGAAGUGAGAAUGCCGGUGUGAGUAGCGAAAGACGGGUGAGAAUCCCGUCCACCGAUUGACUAAGGUUUCCAGAGGAAGGCUCGUCCGCUCUGGGUUAGUCGGGUCCUAAGCUGAGGCCGACAGGCGUAGGCGAUGGAUAACAGGUUGAUAUUCCUGUACCACCUAUAAUCGUUUUAAUCGAUGGGGGGACGCAGUAGGAUAGGCGAAGCGUGCGAUUGGAUUGCACGUCUAAGCAGUAAGGCUGAGUAUUAGGCAAAUCCGGUACUCGUUAAGGCUGAGCUGUGAUGGGGAGAAGACAUUGUGUCUUCGAGUCGUUGAUUUCACACUGCCGAGAAAAGCCUCUAGAUAGAAAAUAGGUGCCCGUACCGCAAACCGACACAGGUAGUCAAGAUGAGAAUUCUAAGGUGAGCGAGCGAACUCUCGUUAAGGAACUCGGCAAAAUGACCCCGUAACUUCGGGAGAAGGGGUGCUCUUUAGGGUUAACGCCCAGAAGAGCCGCAGUGAAUAGGCCCAAGCGACUGUUUAUCAAAAACACAGGUCUCUGCUAAACCGUAAGGUGAUGUAUAGGGGCUGACGCCUGCCCGGUGCUGGAAGGUUAAGAGGAGUGGUUAGCUUCUGCGAAGCUACGAAUCGAAGCCCCAGUAAACGGCGGCCGUAACUAUAACGGUCCUAAGGUAGCGAAAUUCCUUGUCGGGUAAGUUCCGACCCGCACGAAAGGCGUAACGAUUUGGGCACUGUCUCAACGAGAGACUCGGUGAAAUCAUAGUACCUGUGAAGAUGCAGGUUACCCGCGACAGGACGGAAAGACCCCGUGGAGCUUUACUGUAGCCUGAUAUUGAAAUUCGGCACAGCUUGUACAGGAUAGGUAGGAGCCUUUGAAACGUGAGCGCUAGCUUACGUGGAGGCGCUGGUGGGAUACUACCCUAGCUGUGUUGGCUUUCUAACCCGCACCACUUAUCGUGGUGGGAGACAGUGUCAGGCGGGCAGUUUGACUGGGGCGGUCGCCUCCUAAAAGGUAACGGAGGCGCUCAAAGGUUCCCUCAGAAUGGUUGGAAAUCAUUCAUAGAGUGUAAAGGCAUAAGGGAGCUUGACUGCGAGACCUACAAGUCGAGCAGGGUCGAAAGACGGACUUAGUGAUCCGGUGGUUCCGCAUGGAAGGGCCAUCGCUCAACGGAUAAAAGCUACCCCGGGGAUAACAGGCUUAUCUCCCCCAAGAGUUCACAUCGACGGGGAGGUUUGGCACCUCAAUGUCGGCUCAUCGCAUCCUGGGGCUGUAGUCGGUCCCAAGGGUUGGGCUGUUCGCCCAUUAAAGCGGUACGCGAGCUGGGUUCAGAACGUCGUGAGACAGUUCGGUCCCUAUCCGUCGUGGGCGUAGGAAAUUUGAGAGGAGCUGUCCUUAGUACGAGAGGACCGGGAUGGACAUACCUCUGGUGUACCAGUUGUCGUGCCAACGGCAUAGCUGGGUAGCUAUGUGUGGACGGGAUAAGUGCUGAAAGCAUCUAAGCAUGAAGCCCCCCUCAAGAUGAGAUUUCCCAACUUCGGUUAUAAGAUCCCUCAAAGAUGAUGAGGUUAAUAGGUUCGAGGUGGAAGCAUGGUGACAUGUGGAGCUGACGAAUACUAAUCGAUCGAAGACUUAAUCAA